rnacentral:lncRNA from 1 species
AUGUUUAAUUUUUUCACUGCAUCUUCUCUGUUUCUUAACUUCUCUUUCCCAUUUCUUAGUGUUGCAACUCUGGAGAUUUCUUCCAGUCUAUCUUUUAGCUCACUAAUUCUCCCUUCAGCUGCACCUAACAGAAGUUUCCGUUUGAAUUAUUGUCAUUUUAUUUACACAAGUUUAACUUUGCUUUCAACAGACUGGUUCCAAAUAGGAAAAGGAGUAUGUCAAGGCUGUAUAUUUUCACCCUGCUUAUUUAACUUCUAUGCAGAGUACAUCAUGAGAAACGCUGGACUGGAGGAAACACAAGCUGGAAUCAAGAUUGCCAGGAGAAAUAUCAAUAACCUCAGAUCUGCAGAUGACACCACCCUUAUGGCAGAAAGUGAAGAGGAGCUAAAAAGCCUCUUGAUGAAAGUGAAAGAGGAGAGUGAAAAAGCUGGCUUAAAGCUCAACAUUCAGAAAACUAAGAUCACAACAUCCGGUUCCAUCACUUCAUGGGAAAUAGAUGGGGAAACAGUGGAAACAGUGUCAGACUUUAUUUUGGGGGGCUCCAAAAUCACUGCAGUUGGUGACUGCAGCCAUGAAAUUAAAAGACGCUUACUCUUUGGAAGAAAAGUUAUGACCAACCUAGAUAGCAUAUUCAAAAGCAGAGACAUUACUUUGUUAACAAAGGUCCAUCUAGUCAAGGCUAUGGUUUUUCCAGUAGUCAUGUAUGGAUGUGAGAGUUGGAGUGUGAAGAAGGCUGAGCGCCGAAGAAUUGAUGCGUUUGAACUGUGGUGUUGGAGAAGACUCUUGAGAGUCCCUUGGACUGCAAGGAGAUCCAACCAGCCCCUUCUGAAGGAGAUCAGCCCUGGGAUUUCUUUGGAAGGAAUGAUGCUAAAGCUGAAACUCCAGUACUUUGGCCACCUCAUGAGAAGAGUUGACUCAUUGGAAAAGACUCUGAUGCUGGGGAGGGAUUGGGGGCAGGAGGAGAAGGGGAUGACAGAGGAUGAGAUGGCUGGAUGGCAUCACUGA